CCUACGGGUGGCUGCAGUGGGGAAUAUUGGACAAUGGGGGCAACCCUGAUCCAGCCAUGCCGCGUGUGUGAAGAAGGCCUUCGGGUUGUAAAGCACUUUAAGCAGGGAGGAAGGCUCGUUGGUUAAUAACCAGCGGGAGUGACGUUACCUGCAGAAUAAGCACCGGCAAACUCCGUGCCAGCAGCCGCGGUAAUACGGAGGGUGCGAGCGUUAGUCGGAAUUACUGGGCGGAAAUGUUACGUAGGAGGUUAAAUCCCCGGGCUCAACCUGGGUGCUGCAUUCGAUACUGGCAGACUUGAAUACGGUAGAGGGGGGUGGAAUUCCAGGUGUAGCGGUGAAAUGCGUAGAGAUCUGGAGGAACACCAGUGGCGAAGGCGGCCCCCUGGACCGAUAUUGACGCUGAGGUACGAAAGCGUGGGGAGCAAACAGGAUUAGAUACCCUAGUAGUC
rnacentral:rRNA from 1 species